UCUUCCCCAGUACUGUGCAUUGGAUCAAUUAGAACUACAAAUGUGCUUCAUCUUUUGUAGGUUCUGGGAUUGCUAUUCUAUUUGAAAGAGGAUGGAACGUUGGACAUACGAGUGCCCUUCGAGCGAUGGAGGAACCGCCUACACAUCCCCACCUUAAUAGCUCAAUUGCAAAAGGAAGAAAAAGAAAUCAAUCUGACUAACCUCUCUCUCAGCAACAUAUCAGCUUUCUAGCAUGCAUAUUUGAGAGUUACAUUGCAGGAGAAAAGAUCAGCUAUACUUUUGUUGUUUGAAUAAAAAACAAUUAGCCACACUUGUUUGAAUCCUUUUGUAUCAACCCAUAAUUUAGCAUCAGGAUCCAUGAUUCUUUCCCUUGAUAAAAAGAAAUUCUGUCCUCUCGAGCUCCAUCAUGUACUAUUUACUUACAAAGAACCCAGCACAAAUUCGGUUUUGGAAGAAUAGAACAAACUAUGUUGAGCCAAGAGCAUCUUCAUUACUAUGGAAAAUGAUGGAUAGCAAAAUCCACAAUCGAUCAUGUCCUUCAAGUCGCACGUUGCUUUCUACCACAUCGUUUUAAACGAAGUUUUACCAUAGCAUUCCUCUAAUUUCAUUUCAAAGUGGUAUAGGGAAUUGAUCCAAUAUGGAUGGAAUCAUGAAUAGUCAUUGGUUUUGUUUAGUAUUUUGUAUACUAAUUAAAACUUGCUAUCUGUGGAUAAAUAAGUAUUUAUCCGGGGAAGACUCAGCAAGGAUCCAAUUUAUUUAAACCCAUAUUCUAUCAUAUGAAUGAAACAUAGUUCAAAAAAGACAAAUAGCAAAGUCAAUUGAAUUUUUAAUAGACCACUAUGCUAGGCAUUGAUCCCAUUUAAUUCAUUGCUUUCGUUGUGUUGUGUUACCAACAAACGUACCUUCACUCUUAUGCCGCGUGGAUUGCUCUCCCUUUGCUUGGCGGUACUUCUCUAGCCAAUGACCCAGUGGACUAUCCAUGUCAAGAUCGACCGAGAGGGGUUCAAAAUCAUUUAAGUUGACAGCCCUCUUGACUGUUUUUAUUACCCAAUUUGCCGUGAUCGGGUGUUUGAAGUGAGUCGGGUUUUCGCACUCUGUGCGAUUCGGUUGUCGGAGUCUUAGGUGAUUCAUCAUUCCUUAGAAGCAGCUUCUUUCGCAAUCGAGAACUGUCAUGAACAUCUGGAUGGGAGCGGUCAGCGAGAGUUAAUUAUUGGGGACAACAGGGCGAUCCAUAUCUCUUGCAGAAAACAUGUUCAGUGGGCCUCUGCCAUUGCAGCAUCUUGUUAGUUUCUCUGCAGAAACCAACCAGCUCUGCUAGGGAAACGACCCCGGAGACCAGCCUGAUAGACUAUAUCUAUGAACUUCAAAUAAGUCCCUACUUUCCUAAUAAGGGUACUGGCUCGCGAGGAGAAAAAGAAUGGCCCUACAAAAUGACUCUCCUAAAAUCAAUGUCUGGAAGUCCUUUUAAGAUGGGUUAAUAUAAGAUAUGCUAUGCUUAACACUUAGGCUUAGCAAGAGGGACUGGCGCGUGAGACCGAGAUCGCCAUAGAUUGAUUGUGCAGGCAGGUAAUACUCAUUUUAACUAGAGAGAGGAUAUUAUACAAGAGUACUGGUUAUAGUCACACUCCCAAACUCCCGAGAAGUCUUUUUUACUUAACUCUAGGACUUGCUAUAAGGAUGGAUUGCUUUUACCCUAGAACCCUCUAUCCCGAUCUCGAAUUGCGCUUGGCGCCCCCAGGUUGGGCACAAACCCAGGUAGCCCCUAAACCCGGGCUCAGUCAAGAGCGGCAUCUGAAUCCCGCUGCAAUCCCUCCUGCGCUGGUGGAGAAAAAGGGGCAAAAUCUCAGUGGCCGACCUAAUAUGUUGGCUCCACUACCCGAAUCUAUUCCCCUUAAUCCUCCAAGCCAAUCAAUGCCCCAUACCCUUAUCAUGGUCAGUCUCAUCUUUAGUGACUCCCGUGGUAAGGGGUCGAGGGAAGUGGUGUGGUGGGCCCCCUCACUUUUUUUGGAAAGAAGACAGGACCAACGAUAAAUUCUUUUGAAUUUUUUUAAGAAAUCUUCAGAAGAUGUCUCUUCUAGUAAGAAUAGAGAAGAUGUCUCAUCUAGUAAGAAUACACUUAUUUGUGAUCCUCCCUCUGUGACUGCUAUUCCUAUACUAUCAGAAAGUAGACUAUCCUAAGAUUCGGGUUGCGAUCCUCAAGGAAAUAAGCUUGAAUCUCAAAAAUACUAUUAGAGUGGGGAAACUUAUAGCUACCUGCUCUUUCAUUGAAAUGAACGAAUUACUGCCAGUAAUCUGAGAAUUCAUUGGUUCAAGGUGAUGACACACCGCCUUUUGGCUUGGUUCAAGCCAGCUUUCCAGCUAUCCAAUUACCGUGAGAGCUCUUGGACUGUUAGACCAAGUAAAGGUAUUUGUCCCUUCCCCUUACGAGCCUGUGGGUGAAAGUGCCCCUCCAAUUGCACAAGUCUCUCCAGUCCCAACAAGGGAAAAUCAAUCCAGUUAGCCAAUUUUUGAAAGCUUUUAAAAGUGCUUUACUAAAUAAAGUUCUCUUUCGGCCAUUGAGCAAGAGCAAGUAUUCAAGCAGGAGUAGAAAGCUUCGAUGCAUUGGAAGUUCGUUCUUCUACCUGCGAGUUCUGUUACAGCAAUUGGGAGUACCCUUUUCACCGCAAGUUCUCUUACAUUUAGUAAGCCAGCGGCGAGGGUGCCAACUCUUACGAGAUCUCACCCCGAUUAUAGUGAGUGCUUAUCCCUUGAUCUUCCCUUGGAGUGCCAAUUGUAUAAGAAAGUCUUAAGCAAGUAUAUUGAAAAUCUUAAGCUCAUCUAGUGCCAGUGCACGUCACUCUAUUCCCUUAGGGAAGCAGGUCAGCAAGUGGGACUUUAGGUAAGAAAGAAUCGUUCUAUCUGGACUCUUUCUAUAGGGUGUCGCAUUCAUUCCUCAUGGGAGUGUAGGAUUCCGAUUAUCUAUAGUAUUAGUACCCAUAGCGUAGAUCCUCGAAAUCUUAUUUUUUUAGAUGAUAUGGUGUACUCUCCAGUCUGGGGAUAUGCUAUAGUAUAUUGCACUGGACCAAUGCUCUUUACAACCCCGGAGUAAUACCUAUGUCUAGUGGCAGUCCCUGUUAAAGUGGCCAUAGGGUGACCGUAUCAGGCCAUUGACAAUUAGUAUAUACUACUUUCAUUGCUCCUCUUGGCAUUCUAGGAGGAGGGCCAUUUCUACUUCCAUGGAACCAGUUGUUCCUGCGAUUCCAGUCUGUUACGGUGCUGGUAAAAAGGGGGUUUUAUGGACCAGUUCUUUCUCUUACUUUCUUAGUAGCGGAUCCAUCAUGGAAAGAAGGAAACUUUCAUCCGGCGUACCUCGUGUGACUUCUAGCUGUGCCUACCGAGUCAAAGAACCUGCUUCAACGAAUAAUAGAAGGUAUCAGAAACCCCAUUAACCCUUAGCUGAUCCUGAAGCCACGGUUCUUGCUCCUAGGUACAAAUCUAUGGUGUAGCACCGCCAACAGUGGACGAGCGCCUACAUCGAUCUGUCUCCCGACAGGUUUCUUUUCAAUCAACACAAGCAGCAGGCGUAGCUUUUCAUUCACUCGCUCUAAGCACGGGAAUAGAAUAAAGGUAUGGGUCCCCCACCUUACCAUCCGUUCUGUCAGACCAAUUGCUAAAGUAUUCGAUUUGAGUGUCCACAAUCAGGAGAUGGGCCUUUCUCAAAUUGAACAGCCGGUAUUGUGGCAUUCGGAUCUGUCUUAUUGACCGGCUUUGGUCGAGCAACCGCUGCAUUUCUUGAACGGCUACUGCCUACAUAACUUGUCUUCCUCUUUUCAAGGAAGUUAGUCUCAGACCAUAUGUAGUUCUCGGCCCCUUUUGUUAGACCAGUUCCUUUCGGUGCUGAGUUCCUUACUGCCCUGAAACUGUACUGAAGUGGCUUCUUCACUCCAGCACAGAAGUCUAGUAUUCUGGUGAGUCCGAUUUGUUUAAUGUGGACCCUCUACUCACUUUUGAAUAAUGAAAUUCGAAAUUUCCAUCCCUCAUGGAUCAUCGAACGAAGGCAUUCGUUUCGGAUGAUUUCCCGCACCUGGAAGAAGAAGAAUAAGAAAAAGUAGACAAAUUUUUCGUAACACCGUGGGGUGUUCAUUUUAUUUUCUUUUUUUAUCAUUUGUAUUGACUUUGAUAGUUGGAAGUUCUCCAAAAGUAUGAAAGGCUGGAGGGCUUUGUACCAACCAUUCUAGUGUGGUUGGAUUCUGUUCAACAGCCCAAGGACUUUCCGCACAUCUUUUGUUCUUUCCACUGCUUGAAGUGAUUGCGACAACUACGAAGAAACGACGAAUCCCAACUACGGAUAUAUAAGAACCGAAACUGCUCAGAGCAUUCCAUCCGGCGUAAGCAUCUGGAUAAUCUGGAAUGCGACGUGGCAUACCCGAAAGCCCUAAGAAAUGCAUGGGAAAGAAGGUCAGAUUAACCCCGAAAAAAGUGAUCCAAAAAUGGAUUUGGCCUAAAGUUUCAGGAUAUGUCCGACCAAAGAUUUUACCCACCCAAUAGUAAAAUCCAGCAAAUAAAGCAAAAACGGCUCCCAUAGAAAGUACAUAAUGGAAAUGUGCAACCACAUAAUAAGUAUCAUGUAGAGCAAUGUCUAGCCCAGAGUUUGCUAGAACUAUUCCAGUGAGCCCUCCUAUGGUGAACAAAAAGAUGAACCCUACAGCAAAUAACAUGGGUGUUUUGUAUUGUAUCGAACCUCCCCACAUGGUAGCGAUCCAACUAAAGAUUUUGAUUCCAGUGGGCACAGCUAUGAUCAUGGUAGCUGCGGUGAAGUAGGCACGCGUAUCAACGUCUAAGCCCACAGUAAACAUAUGAUGAGCCCAAACUAGAAAUCCAAGAACACCUAUACUUAUCAUGGCAUAAACCAUGCCUAGAUACCCGAAGACCGGUUUUCUUGAAAAGGUCGAUACGAUAUGACUAAUAAUACCGAAUCCAGGCAGAAUGAGAAUAUACACCUCUGGAUGACCGAAGAACCA
rnacentral:lncRNA from 1 species